UACGUAGGGAGCAAGCGUUGUUCGGAUUUACUGGGCGUAAAGGCGCGUAGGCGGCCACCGCAAGUCGACUGUGAAAUCUCCGGGCUUAACCCGGAAAGGUCAGCCGAUACUGCGGGGCUAGAGUGCAGAAGGGGCAACUGGAAUUCUCGGUGUAGCGGUGAAAUGCGUAGAUAUCGAGAGGAACACCUGCGGCGAAGGCGGGUUGCUGGGCUGACACUGACGCUGAGGCGCGAAAGCUAGGGGAGCGAACGGG
rnacentral:rRNA from 1 species